UACGUAGGGUGCGAGCGUUGUCCGGAAUUAUUGGGCGUAAAGAGCUCGUAGGCGGCUUGUCGCGUCGGAUGUGAAAGCCCGGGGCUUAACUCCGGGUCUGCAUUCGAUACGGGCAGGCUAGAGUUCGGUAGGGGAGAUCGGAAUUCCUGGUGUAGCGGUGAAAUGCGCAGAUAUCAGGAGGAACACCGGUGGCGAAGGCGGCUCUCUGGACCGAGACUGACGCUGAGGCGCGAAAGCUAGGGGAGCAAACGGG
rnacentral:rRNA from 1 species